GUUAGAAAGCCUUGGUGAACAAUUCACUUUGUACAUGCCUUCGGCAUUCGCUCCUUCACAAAUAAAUGCCUUUGUUUGACAUUAGGAGGCAACUGUUCGUAAUAGCUCCUCAGUUUAUUAGUAUAUGAAGGACGGAUCUUUUGGCGCGCACAGUCAAUAAUCAGUCAGCCGACUGUGUAUAAUCGGGCAGCUAUCAAUACUUGCAAGUUGCGAUGUAAUUAAGCGGAUUUUCAAUAGCCUCAUUUGCAGUGGUGGAGGUGUUCAGAUAUCAUGUGCAGAUUCAGAGCUCUAAGUAUGAACUGUAUCUUGUGAUAAGCUAUCUGAGCUGUGGCUGUUUUGGUAAUGUGUUAAAAAGGACUUCCAAUGAUUUGAACCCAGGACUCUUAGAAUAGAAAGAAAAUGUCCUGCAAACAAGAGCAAUAAAAACAAUGGGUUUACACACCGCAUCAUUUGCCGUCAGUUUUACUGAGAGGAUUGUCUUAAGGUAGUAUUGACAGUCCAGGUAAGUAUUUCAUACAUCUGUAAUGUGUAUAAAUGAAUAUAUGCGAAGAGAUAUCAACGUAAUGGCAGUUUUGGCACGCCAGCUGGACAAAUGUAAUGCCAGUCUGAUUAAGCACAUGUGAAAUUAAAGCUUGAGAGUCAUUGGAGCAGUUUAUGGAACGGGUGAUGCUCGACUCGGCCUUACGCCUCGUAGGUGGGCAUGCAGAACUUGAAGACAUGUACAUGGUUUCCAUAUUUGUUUCUGUGGUAACCCCCACGGGGUCAUCUCGCAACAAUAAUUUUUAUGUGUAGACAUAUUGGUGAUGGAUUUGAAAUGAGCAAUUGUAUCUGAAGGCAUAUGUCCUAUACAGUUUCUUUACACACUGGUACUUUAUUUUUUAUCUAUUCCUUGGGAAAUUACAUUGAAACAAGGUUAACUUUUAUGUAUUUUUUAUCCUAAAGAAUUGGAUGCCAGUGUUUCAUUAGUUAGGCCCUACCAAAAUUGAAGGAGCAGGGUCAUUCAGACACUGAGGUAUAAUGACAUCUUCAACUAUGCUUUGAAGAUCUUCUCUUUCUCAUGUUUAGAAAAAAAAAAAGUAUUGCCUUCUGAAUAGCAUUAACAAGCUAAUUUUGUGAUCAUGUGUCUCGUCUUUCUUUUUGCUCUAGGUCAUUAAUAAGGACAUUUUCUCAUAACAUUCAAAAACAUUAGGCCUACUACGACGAUAAUGUGGCAUUUUGUGUCAUUAUUUUCUCUCAAAAUCCCUUAAAUGGCAUGCGUCACAGCUCUUUGAGCUGGUUACGAUUAAUCAACUGUUAAGCUGAGUGCAUCAUCUGGAGUAGAUUUGGCUUCGCCAGAAAAUAUUAAAGAAAACAUACGAUGAAGCAUUCACCUGAGCAAUAUCGCCGUAUUACACAAUUAUAUUUGCUUGUUCAUGUUUUGAAUGGUCUCGGCAUUUAUUAAAAUUUAUGUCAUAUGCUCUUUCAAAUUGGGCUUAGA